rnacentral:rRNA from 1 species
UACAGGGGGGGCAAGCGUUGUUCGGAAUUACUGGGCGUAAAGGGUUCGUAGGUGGCCACUUAAGUCAGACGUGAAAUCCCUCAGCUUAACUGGGGAACUGCGUCUGAUACUGAGUGGCUUGAGUGCAGGAGAGGAAUGCGGAAUUCCAGGUGUAGCGGUGAAAUGCGUAGAUAUCGGGAGGAACACCAGUGGCGAAGGCGACUACCUGGCCUGUUCUUGACGCUGAGGCGCGAAAGCUAGGGGAGCAAACGGG